CAGGCAAGCUUCACUGUCGAAUGUUCCUGAAUGUGAAGACACAUUUUUUCACGGAGCUUAAGGAAAACACUUUACCAAACUCAUCCAAGAGCAGCAAGCAGCAGAGGCACAGGCAAGCACAAGCAAAGCACACACCACACUCUAAGCAAUCAGUGACAGAUGGGAUGGCCCUAUUUCAACAUAUACACACUGAAAGACACUAAUGUGAAGGUGUUCUGCUUGUGAAUUGUUACAGAAGUACAGAUCAUCUUAAUGUUAAAUUGUUUUAGUAAGAAACUGUACUGUGAAUGUUCUAAGUAAAACUUGUGAUGCUGAGGUCAUGCAUUCUUUUAUGCACUAAAUACUGAUGUUCUUGACUGUUAAUACUGUCCAGCUUAUUGGCAUGGUUUGGAUAUGGCUUGUGAAAAUGUUUUAAUAAUAUGUAUAUGGUUAAAAAAAGAAAACUGUAUUGUGAAGGAGUUCUACGCAGCACUUUAAAAAGUUGAGGUCAUGCAUUCUAUGCACUAAAUAUGGAUGUUGACUGUUCAUACUGUCCAGCUCAUUGCCACUGUUUUGAUAUGGUAAUGAUUUAAUAAAGGUUGGAAUUUGA